rnacentral:rRNA from 1 species
UCCUACGGGUGGCUGCAGUCGAGAAUCUUUAGCAAUGGACGAAAGUCUGACUAUGCGACGCCGCGUGAGGGAUGAAGGUUUUCGGAUCGUAAACCUCUUUCGAAGGGAAAGAAAAUGUUCCGAAUAAUAUUCGGAAAACUGACGGUACCCUGAGAAGAAGCCACGGCCAACUCCGUGCCAGCAGCCGCGGUAAUACGGGGGUGGCAAGCGUUACUCGGAUUCAUUGGGUGUAAAGGGCAGGUAGGUGGUCUAAUAAGUAGAAGGUGAAAUCCCGUUGCUCAACAGCGGAACUGCCUUCUAAACUAUCGGGCUUGAAAUUGGGAGAGGAGAAUGGAAUUCCCGGUGUAAGGGUGAAAUCUGUAGAUAUCGGGAAGAACACCAGUGGCGAAAACGAUUCUCUAGUCCAAUUCUGACACUGAGCUGCGAAAGCUAGGGGAGCAAACAGGAUUAGAUACCCUGGUAGUCCUAGCUGUAAACGAUGAGCACUAGGUGUUGGUUCGUAUGAAUCGGCGCCGCAGUUAACACAUUAAGUGCUCCACCUGGGGACUACGGCCGCAAGGCUAAAACUCAAAGGAAUUGACGG